rnacentral:rRNA from 1 species
CCUACGGGGGGCAGCAGUAGGGAAUCUUUCACAAUGGGCGAAAGCCUGAUGGAGCAACGCCGCGUGCAGGAUGAAGGCCUUCGGGUUGUAAACUGCUUUUAUAAGCGAGAAAUAUGAUGGUAAUUUAUGAAUAAGGAUCUGCCAACUACGUGCCAGCAGCCGCGGUCAUACGUAGGAUCCGAGCAUUAGCCGGAGUGACUGGGUGUAAAGAGUUGCGUAGGUGGGAUAAUAAGUAGCUAGUGAAAUGUGGUGGCUCAACCAUUGGGACUAUUAGCUAAACUGUUAAGCUAGAGACCGGUAGGGGUAACUGGAAUUUCUAGUGUAGCGGUGAAAUCCGUAGAGAUUAGAAGGAACACCAAUGGCGUAGGCAGGUUGCUGGGA